GUUUUAAUAAUUUAUAAAAAAUAUUGAUCUUGUAAAUCAAAAAAGAAUUAAAUAUUCUUAAAACU
rnacentral:tRNA from 1 species